ACCACAAUAUGACACAUGGGCCGCCCGCUUGACAUCGCAUUAAGUAGCAGCAAUUGUCUUGACAUCAGCAUUGUGAGCCUCGCUACCGAAGCCUCAUACUAAGCCCAAAUAGCACAGAAUAGUGUGUGCAGUGAUACGGUGAAGACACCCAACCUCCGUGUUCGACAACUCCGCAUAAUUUGUGUGGCACGAGAAAUUAAUCACCAUUGACGGUAAAAUAAACACCGUCAGUUAGCCAACAACGGACGAGUUGUUCGGAGACGAUCGCCACGUGUGCAAACAAUACUGGUCGACAUUUAGAUUAGUGGCACCAUUCGAUUUUCAUCCAAUCUCAAAGCAAUUGCACGUGGCUUUACCAGAACGCAUAGGUUUUGCAUGUGGGAUCGCAUGUAUCACUAGUACACGACUGCAUCGAUAGACGAGGGCAUUAUCAUUGCAAAGCGCACAGAAAGGCCUUCGCACAAUCAGAAGGCCUUUCUUCCCUUUGCUAAAUUCGCAGCAUCACAGACUGAGUCACGUGGCAUGCGAGCGGAGCUCAGCAGCACACACGAAAGAACCGGCACAUAUCGACCGUGAGGAUCAAGCCAGGCACCUGCACCACAGCGAACGAUUGGAAUAAUCGGCACAGCGGACAUAGAACGGUCACACUAUUGGGAAAAGUGUAGGCACCAAUAUCCAACUCGGACGACGGCAAGCGGUGCGAGGUGGCGGGAUCCAGCGGGCGGCGUGUGUCAUCAUUAGACUCACAACAGAGAUGGGCCCAUCGUGAGUAGAUCGAUAUAAAGAAAACAGCAUGCUAUUAGAGUAGUUAGAAUAGGCUGGUAAUAGGAAUAUGGUUCUGAUACGAUAAUAAAUCAAUAUCUAUUGUCAUGAUUUGA